rnacentral:rRNA from 1 species
GACGAACGCUGGCGGCGUGCUUAACACAUGCAAGUCGAACGGUAAGGCCCUUCGGGGUACACGAGUGGCGAACGGGUGAGUAACACGUGGGUGAUCUGCCCUGCACUUCGGGAUAAGCCUGGGAAACAGGGUCUAAUACCGGAUAGGACUCCGGACUGCAUGGUCUGGGGUGGAAAGCUUUUGCGGUGUGGGAUGGGCCCGCGGCCUAUCAGCUUGUUGGUGGGGUGAUGGCCUACCAAGGCGACGACGGGUAGCCGGCCUGAGAGGGUGACCGGCCACACUGGGACUGAGAUACGGCCCAGACUCCUACGGGAGGCAGCAGUGGGAAAUAUUGCACAAUGGGCGCAAGCCUGAUGCAGCGACGCCGCGUGAGGGAUGACGGCCUUCGGGUUGUAAACCUCUUUCAGCACAGACGAAGCGCAAGUGACGGUAUGUGCAGAAGAAGGACCGGCCAACUACGUGCCAGCCGCCGCUGUAA